UACUCGGUUUGCAAUACUAACCAAAUUAGGACACACGUGUACGUUUAGACUACAACUAGGUUAAUUACUACAUUCACCUCCUUAACCUUGUUGAUGUGUCUUCAUUGCUUGCACUCCGACUUUCUUCCUCAUCUCGAUGAACUUCUGUCGACCGAGGGACUUGGUGAAAAUAUCGGCAAGCUGGUCCUUCGUAUUCACGUGC
rnacentral:lncRNA from 1 species